UACAGAGGGCUCAAGCGUUGUUCGGAUUCAUUGGGCGUAAAGCGUGCGCAGGCGGCGCGGUAAGUCGGGUGUGAAAUCUCGGAGCUUAACUCCGAAACUGCAUUCGAUACUGCCGUGCUUGAGGACUGGAGAGGAGACUGGAAUUUACGGUGUAGCGGUGAAAUGCGUAGAUAUCGUAAGGAAGACCAGUGGCGAAGGCGGGUCUCUAGACAGUUCCUGACGCUGAGGCACGAAGGUCAGGGGAGCAAACGGG
rnacentral:rRNA from 1 species